UUCGCGAUAAAAAAUGCCCCUGUGGACAAGUACCAUUACAAAGACCACUUAUGGUGGGCGUAUGGGAAGAUGCCCAAGUCCAAGCAGGAGGUCGGUGUUCGAGACUGGUGUUUUGUUUUGGCCAUGGGAGGUCUGUUUACUGGAGAGGAGCCGGCUGAAUCAGACUUAAUGAGCUGAAGGUCUUCAUGGAGUCUGUUGCUUACUAUGUCAACAGUGUGUUGGUGAGAGGAAUGGAAAAGGCGACCCCAGCAGGGCCUAAAUGAUUCCUCGAGUGAUUUGUUGUGAUUGUAAAAGUGAAAAUGUUCUGUUGUCACAUUACAAUAGUUCAGGUUAGUUAGUUCAGAUAUAUCUGCCUCACAAGGUGUGUUUAGAUGUGUUUACCUUCCACUGCUGUCCUGGUUAGGGGCCACCAGCAGAUUAUAGGGGAAGUGAACACCAUUUGUGCUUCAGGCUGUCGCACCAGUUCUGCUUCCUGCACAUAGCAAAU